rnacentral:rRNA from 1 species
UACAGAGGGGGCAAGCGUUGUUCGGAAUUACUGGGCGUAAAGGGCGCGUAGGCGGCCUUCUAAGUCGAACGUGAAAUCCCCGGGCUCAACCCGGGAACUGCGUCCGAUACUGGAAGGCUUGAAUCCGGGAGAGGGGUGCGGAAUUCCAGGUGUAGCGGUGAAAUGCGUAGAGAUCGGAAGGAACGUCGAUGGCGAAGGCAGCCACCUGGCAUAAUACUGACGCUGAGGCGCGAAAGCGUGGGGAGCGAACAGG